rnacentral:rRNA from 1 species
UACGGAGGGUGCGAGCGUUGUCCGGAAUCACUGGGCGUAAAGGGCGCGUAGGCGGCCUGAUAAGUAGGGGGUGAAAUCCUGCGGCUUAACCGCAGGGCUGCCUUCUAAACUGUCAGGCUAGAGCACGGUAGAGGCAGAUGGAAUUCCCGGUGUAGCGGUGGAAUGCGUAGAGAUCGGGAAGAACAUCAGUGGCGAAGGCGGCAUCCUGGACUGGUCCUGACACUCAUGAGCGAAAGCGUGGGGAGCGAUCCGGAU